CUGGAUAUGCUGGUUUUGGCAUUCCUUCCUGCAGUGUUGGUGGCGGAGAAUGGCUGUUGUGUUUCCACUCCAGAAGUGGCUGCACUUCAGUGACAGGGAGAUAGACAAAUGGCUGUAUAAGGACUACAGAUAACAUUGACUCAAGAGUGAUCACUGAGAAGAGGGGAAGUGGAGAAGACCCCCUGGAAAGAGACUCCCAUCUACUUCAUUUAGAAGCCCUGCUAUGCAACAUGCUCCCGAUGCCUCACCGUGCAUAACCUGAUAUCUCUUGUCCCGUCUCACUGAGCAGCUUGGGGAGAAUGUACACUUAUCCCUUCUCUUUUCCUGGCAUGUGCGUCUCUGACUCUGGAGGCUCCUCUGUGAAUGGAGCUGCCAAUAGGCGGUGAGUCAUUUUGAACAUGCCUGGAUCCAGAAGACAUCAUGUGGCUGAUGAUUCAUGUGUCUCACCUGUUUGACUGUUUAAAUAAACUCUGAUUCCAAGGG